GCCGCGGUGGUCUAGUGGUUAUGGCGUUCGACUGCUGAUCCGAAGGUCGCGGGAUCGAAUCUCGGCCGCGGCG
rnacentral:tRNA from 1 species